UACAGAGGGGGCAAGCGUUGUUCGGAAUUACUGGGCGUAAAGGGCGCGUAGGUGGCCUUCUAAGUUGAACGUGAAAUCCCUGGGCUCAACCCAGGAACUGCGUCCAAGACUGGGAGGCUUGAAUCCGGGAGAGGGAUGCGGAAUUCCAGGUGUAGCGGUGAAAUGCGCAGAUAUCGGGAGGAACACCAAUUGCGAAGGCAGCUUGCUGGGACGGUACUGACGCUGAGGCGCGAAAGCGUGGGGAGCAAACAGGG
rnacentral:rRNA from 1 species